rnacentral:rRNA from 1 species
CAAACUUGAGAGUUUGAUCCUGGCUCAGAACGAACGCUGGCGGCAUGCCUAACACAUGCAAGUCGAACGAACCCUUCGGGGUGAGUGGCGCACGGGUGCGUAACGCGUGGGAACCUGCCUUUAGGUUCGGAAUAACAGUUAGAAAUGACUGCUAAUACCGGAUAAUGUCUUCGGACCAAAGAUUUAUCGCCUUUAGAUGGGCCCGCGUUGGAUUAGAUAGUUGGUGGGGUAAUGGCCUACCAAGUCGACGAUCCAUAGCUGGUCUGAGAGGAUGAUCAGCCACACUGGGACUGAGACACGGCCCAGACUCCUACGGGAGGCAG